rnacentral:rRNA from 1 species
GUCGAACGGUAACAGGAAUCAGCUUGCUGAUUUGCUGACGAGUGGCGGACGGGUGAGUAAUGUCUGGGAAACUGCCUGAUGGAGGGGGAUAACUACUGGAAACGGGAGCUAAUACCGGAUAACGUCGCAAGACCAAAGAGGGGGACCUUCGGGCCUCUUGCCAUCGGAUGUGCCCAGAUGGGAUUAGCUAGUGGGUGGGGUAAAGGAGUUCCCGGCCGGACCGCUGGCAA